GCCAGUGUAGCUCAGUGGUAGAGCGCUCGCCUUGUAAGCGAGGGGUCACGGGUUCGAGCCCCGUCACUGGCU
rnacentral:tRNA from 1 species